CCUCCGCCCUUCCAUUCCUGCACACACACACAAGCACACUUCCUGCACACCCUCAGACCAGCACAAACACAUUUCCUGCAGCGAGAGGCAAGGUCAGCUCCCAUCUAUAAUUAGCUCGCUUUGACAUACACACAGACACACACACACAUGCACACACACACACACACAAACAAACACACACACUCGCUGGCUCUGCCUAUGGCUAAGGCUUUCUCCAGGCAUCCGCUCCUCUAUAUAAGCCUGACUGGCUCCAGGGCUCCACACUCACCUCUCAGAGCAGAGCUACGGUGCGACACAUGCAAACUCCCACUCGACGCUAAAGCUCGGACAGCGACCUCACACACACACACACACAGAUCUCUCAGAGGACAAACGCGGUCAUUAUUGGACCUACAGCAGUCGCGGAGCAGAGAGAGAAUACACUCUCGGACAGCGCUUGACUCCUUACAACACACCUUUAAACAGGAAGCUCUUGGACACUGGUCAGCUUGACACAGCUGGACUGCCACUGAACCUCAGCUGAAGAAACACACAGACACACACACAAACACGUCUGGACCUGAACCCAGUAGCUGUGCAGAACCAACAAACACACACUCGCUGGUCCACCAUAGGAUGAAACCGCGGAGGCUUCUACUGCAUGCCCCCCUCCUGCCCACCAUCUCCGAGUGUCUGGAGGACGUGUCGACCCCCUGCCUCCCUCCAUCCCUGGACGAGUACGCUGCGUCCAUCAGAGCCCUGGCCCGCCCCACCUCUGCCCUGCCUGGUCCAAUCAGGUCACCCCGUGGCCAGAGGCCACACCCCCACGCCAGGGCUAGACAUCAGAGUUGCGCUCCCCAUGCUUGCCGGAUAGUGCGGCCACGCCAUGCUCCUGUUGCCCCCAGCAAUAACAACGACAACAGCAGCAAAGACCCGCUGGACUGGUCGUUUGCACACACACCAGCGAACACACACAGGGCAGUGCAAACACACACACUCACACACCGGCACUCGCAAACAGAUGUACGGCCUCGGACUCAAGGACAACGUACAGGUCACACAGACAAUUUCAUGCCUACACUCUGGAUGCUUUAAAACACAUGCGUACACACACACACACACACACACACACACACACACACACACACACACACACACACACACACACACACACACACACACACACACACACACACACACACAAAAUAGACUUUCUUUCUGCACUAUUUAUUGUGGACUGGGAUCCCUUGUUGCUAAAUGUUUAUAAUAAAAAGAGAUGUCAUUGUCUAGCCUUUA